rnacentral:rRNA from 1 species
UACGUAGGGCGCAAGCGUUGUCCGGAAUUAUUGGGCGUAAAGAGCUCGUAGGCGGCUUGUCACGUCGGAUGUGAAAGCCCGAGGCUUAACCUCGGGUCUGCAUUCGAUACGGGCUAGCUAGAGUGUGGUAGGGGAGAUCGGAAUUCCUGGUGUAGCGGUGAAAUGCGUAGAUAUUGGGAGGAACACCAGUGGCGAAGGCGGCUCACUGGACCGGUUCUGACGCUGAGGCGCGAAAGCGUGGGGAGCAAACGGG